CAACCACUUCUCCAAGGCCUUGGAGCCUUGGAGCUGGCCUCCUGCCUCUCUACCUGACACCACCCCAUUAGGCCAUCAAACUCCUCUCAGCACAGGUGCUGUACAUGUAUGAUUCCAUGACUGUCAGUGGAUUAUGGAGCUGCCCUGGUGCCAUGCAUGAUGCUCUGGUGUGCUGUCAGGGGCUCGAGCCUGGACCCUUGUGCAUGACACCAAGCUACAGCUGCUAUCAUGAUUCCAUCCUGACUUCUCUGGGCAGACAAUCUCACCAAUGUGUUCUGAAAUCUCACCUUUCCAGAGCUCUACCCCUCCAGGGAAUGAUAGAAACAGGGGGUAUGGAUCAACCUGCCAAUGCCCAUGUCCAGCAGAGAAGCAAUUACAGAAGCCACAACCCCUACCUUCAGCACCCAAAAACAAUUUUGAUCCAUACUCCCAGUGGGGGAGAAAUGAUAGGAAGAAGAAGAAAAGAGGGUUCUGAACUCCAGCUCCAUCAGGAACCAGAAAGAGAAGAGGAAAAGGGAGGGACAUUUGGAUGUAGUAACAGGAUUAUGUGGGCUUGGAGGGGAAGAGAGGACUGGACCUGGAAGAAAAAGGGGGCAAUUAUGUACAAAGGCAGACAGUUGUAGAGAUGAUAGUUAACCAUUGUCUGCAACCUUAGGAGAAUUGCUAUGGCUUGCAAUGGAGGGAUUGAGGAUUCAGAACUCUGGUGGUAGGAAUGGUGUGGAAUUAUACACCUGUUGGCAUUUAAUUUUGU